UGCAUUGCACCCAUGGCCUUUCUACUUGU
rnacentral:piRNA from 1 species